GAGAAAUCGAUUCUUGUCCUACCUCGCUCCCGAGUCUCGACCCACGCGGCGGCGGCUGCUGCUGCUACAGGUUUAUACGGAUUCAAAGAUCUUCCUCCCGUUCUUCCCCUUCCUAUUCCUCCCGCGACGCUUCGGGCCUCCGAGUUUUCUUCUAGCGCGUCUUGUCUCCUUGGCUCGUCUCAGAUCGAUUCGCUCUGUCUCGUAGCCACCUCCGCGGCGGUCGCCGAGAUUGCCGUCGGGUCGCCACCGCCGGGUUUGGAGAGAUGCAGCGGUGUCACGGAAAGGACAAGGCGGCUACCAGCGCGACGCCGCACCACGCAAAGGGCAAGGCGGCCGCGAGCACGAUGCCGUACCACGCAAAGGAUAAGGCGGCUACUUGCGGCGCGAUGGGGCCGAAGCAUGUCCUCGCAGACGAGAACAUCGUGCAGGAGCACUUAGCACCUCCGGAUCGAAUUCGACAGAGGGGUUUGGAUAGUGCAAAGGAGAGAUCAUCAUCGCUGGUUAUGGGCUUCCGUAGAGAGAUGUCGCAAAAGCGAGGGGAGAAGGGGGAUACAACCUCAAUACAUCAGAAGCAUAAUGCAAAGGAGAAGACUUGCCCCCCUGAUCUGCUCCGCCGGCAGACGCAGGGUAUCCAGCGGCCUGUCAAGAGUCUUGCCGGAGAGAUGUCGCUGAAGCAAAGGGAGAAGGUGGGUACAGGCCUGAUUCCACAGGCGCAUAAUGCAAAGGAGAAGACAUGCCCCCCUGAUCAACUCCGCGGGCAGACGCAUGGUAUCCAGCGGCCUGUCAAGACUGAAGCACGACUUGCUGGAGAGAAGAAGCACAAAACUGAAGCACAUCUUGCCGGAGAGAAAAAGCACACGAAAGGCAAUGCGUCUUUUCCAGCGAAAAGAACCACUACACUACUCAAAGCAAGAACGAGUUCCCACUGUUCCGAUGAAUGUACCAGUCGUCCCAUCGAUACUAACGACCAUGGCAACACUGUUGCCACCCCGGAACAGAGGGAAGAAUCUGCCGCAAUCAAGAUAGAUAAAGAAGUGGAGUACAUAACCCAAAAGUUGAACAAGUUGGGAGUGCGAGAUGAUAUUGGCUUUGAGGAGUACUAUAAAUGCUUGAUGAAUCUGCCUUCCGACCCCUCCGUUGAUACUUCCAUCAGAUUGGAUGAUACAGAUCUUUAUGACAUGGACAUCCGCCACGCGGUGUAUCGCAUCAGAUCCUACAAGUUGUCACAAAAGGAGUCUAAGAAUGAGUUGUGCCAUGAUAAACUGAAAGAUUGCCCUGUGGAGCUUCUUGACAGGGACGAAUUUCCUACAGAUUUCCUCGUGAAGAUGCAAUAUUUUAGGUUCUUGGAGGAAGAAGGUGUAUUAGACUGGUUCUUCCACCCUGAACUCUGCAAGCUUGCUUGCCUGAAUGACUACCAGCGUCUAGUGCCUCGGGAUCAUGGUGCUGUUUUUGAUUGGGAGUAUGCUGAUUGGGAGUUGUACCGCAGUUACUUUCAUAGCUAUGAGAUGCAACAUGAAUACAUCGAGUACUUUGAAACAUUAUUAAGGGAACUUAAGUGGUUGAAAGAUUGUCUACCGGUUAACGAUACUUCUCCUACUGCAAGCAAAAUACGGACCAGAGGAAUUUAUCAAGCAACUAAGAUUGCCACUCGCUUUCCCAAGAUCACAACUCAUUUAGUUCGUAUUGGCUUCAGUGAUUGUCUUACUUACAUGGGCAUUGAGGCUAGGUGGUGUAACGGAUCCGAUGGUCUCCAUUUCGAGAUAUGGAAGCGAGUCACUCAACAAAAGGAGAGUUUCGAAAAUGCUUUGAAGGAAGUCUAUUUACUGAACAAGUGUCCGUCGCGGCAAGAUAGCAUCAAGUAUGCCAUAGAGUAUGACCAUUCCCUUAUGAAACUAGAGAUAGUUGGAAGCCCAGAAUUUGUAACGUGCAUGCUUAUCUCUUUUGCUUCUUUUCUUCACCUUUUCAGUUUCUUCAUUGCACGGCAAGUGUUCCCAAGGAAGUAUCAGAGGAGAAAGCUCAGGAGUUGAUUACAGAGAAAGUUAAAAAGCUGAGGAUAAAACCCAAAUUCUUUGACGAGUAUAUCAGAAAGAAGAUACGCAUUGCCAAAGCUAUAGGAUUGAUUACCGAGGUUUAAGAAGAUGCAUAUUGGGCCUGGCUUUUCGUCCUUGGAGCUUCCAUUUCUUCAAGAUGCCUUUUCAUGGAUUCCAGCACUUUUGCUGCUGCAAUGAAUACUGAACUAGAUCAGAUUCGUAGCUCUUACGAAGUACUCCCUCCGUUUCUUUUUAGUCCGCAUAUAAGGUUUGGUCAAAGUCAAGCUUUGUAGAGUUUGACUAACUUUAUAUUAAAAAAUAUAAACAUUCACAAUAUGAAAUCAAUACUAUCAGAUGCACCAUGAAACGUAUGUUCAUUCUAUCUAGUUUCAGUAUUGUAGAUGUUCAUAUUUUUUUAUAUAAAUUUGGUCAAACUUUGUGAUCUUAUAUGCGAAGUAAAAAGAAACGGAGGGAGUACAGUAGUAUAGUA